rnacentral:rRNA from 1 species
AACGAACGCUGGCGGCAUGCCUAACACAUGCAAGUCGAACGAACCCUUCGGGGUGAGUGGCGCACGGGUGCGUAACACGUGGGAACCUGCCCUUAGGUUCGGAAUAACACAGAGAAAUUUGUGCUAAUACCGGAUAAUGUCUUCGGACCAAAGAUUUAUCGCCUUUGGAUGGGCCCGCGUAGGAUUAGCUAGUUGGUGAGGUAAAGGCUCACCAAGGCGACGAUCCUUAGCUGGUCUUAGAGGAUGAUCAGCCACACUGGGACUGAGACACGGCCCAGACUCCUACGGGAGGCAGCAGUGGGGAAUAUUGGACAAUGGGCGAAAGCCUGAUCCAGCAAUGCCGCGUGAGCGAUGAAGGCCUUAGGGUUGUAAAGCUCUUUUACCUGGGAUGAUAGUGACAGUACCAGGAGAAUAAGCCCCGGCUAACUCCGUGCCAGCCGCCGCAGUAA